CGACGGGAGUGCGCAACCCUCAAUUGUGUUCUGUCAAUUGUUGAAACUGGAGAACAAAGGAAUCGAGUGUGGUAGCGUGAGGACGCAGAAAAAAAUAGGAGCAGUGAUGGUCCAUCAACCGCUGAUUGGUUAAUUAAUUAAGUAAAUCAAUGUAGCAAAGUCAAUUUUUGCAAGGCCCGUCUUACAAUUCGAUAACAUCCCUUCGACUUCACCUGAAGUACCAUACUGCCAACUGAGUCUGUAUUGGGUUCGAUGAGAGUAAGAGACCGAAAAUAUAGUUUGUAUUGGUUUAUUUGAAUAUUGUCAUACGUUGCGUAUCUCUUAACUACUAACUUCGUCUCGAGGGGCUGAAGACCCAAUCGACAGUUUGUCAAUUCUAAACGGGGAGUGGGAACCGCCCGAGAGGGUAAUGACAUCUAACAGUAUCCACCUUUCAAAUUCUGCCAAAUCUGUAAUAAUCGUUGUGCUACUGUGCUACUAUCAACGCUCUUCUACAAGACAGUGGGUAGCCAAUAUUCGAUGUGCUACUGUGCUACUAUCAACGCUCUUCUACAAGACAGUGGGUAGCCAAUAUUCGAUAACAUCUUUUCGAUUCGCCUGAACCAUCAUACUGUCAACUGAGCCUUUAUUGUUACCAUCUCUGCUGCUUCAGCUGAUAUUGUUUUGGGUAUCCAUCCUUGAAAUUUUGCCAAAUCUGUAAGAGCAUGAGACUCUUAAUCUCAGGGUCGUGGGUUCGUGUCGUUGGGCGCCAAAAAUAUAUAACGCUUUUUUUGUUUUGUUAUCAUCUACCUUUUUGGUUUUGGCUUAUUUUUUUGGCUUAGAGUGAUUCCAGCUCCAGCCUACUAGAUUAAGGGGCUCCACAACCUUAAUUUUUGGGAAGAUGUCACGCGGGGAGACGAUAAUACAUCGACAUUUGAGACAUUUUUUUAUAUAGCUGACAUUUGAGAAUGUCAACUGUUAUUUAAGCAAAAAAAAACACACUAACUUGUAAUAUACUUUCCUGAAAAGUUAUGGGAUAAUAACUAAAAUUUAAUAUUUUUUGGAAAGUAUGUUUGAAUGUGGAAGUAUUUUGUUUGGCAGUAACAUAAAAAAGAUUUUUUAAGAACCCAUUCAUUUAUACUCAAUCUAAUUUUUCCAAAGUGGGCGUAGAACAGAAGGUUUUGUAAAAUCAUUGAAUUUUUUUAACAAAAAUUAACUAAAAAGAAAUACUAAUAAAGUGUAUGACUACUUGAUGACAUUACACAUGCUCUCAUUUGUGGAGACAUACUCUGAACUAAAGUAGCAAUUUGUUAUUUGUGUUCUGAAAGCCGAAUUUCUUGCAAUCUACAAAAAAAACCUUUUGUAAAGUCCUCCGAGGAAUUUCAUGGGCUCUAAUUUGUACCUAUUUUAUUUAUUUAUUUAUUUUGAGAUUAGGACUUUUAACUUGUACGUUGCCACACUAUAGCUUUAGUCCCUGCUGCCAUAAGCUCUCCUGUCACAUUAUUUGGAACAUUUGGUCGAGUGUUUUUUGCUUUGUUCUACUACGGGAACUGCCAUUGUUCCUAUAGCAUAGCCAAGCUCUACUAACUACUGGAUUGUAGCACAUCCAAUCUUUGACCAGCUUCUUCUUAAGAUAAUCCUUCAACAAGAGUCACUAUUUGGCGACUUUCGUGUCUGAUGGUUUCUACAUAUUCAUUCAUGACGCACAUUUUUUGCAAUUCGAUUUCGUGGUUUCUAUUUGAUAAAUUUGAAAAAUAGAAUUGACACCUGUAUGAUUUUUUUGUGUUAGUCUUUAUUCAGCUUAUUUACCAAGAAGUAAAAGCUUCGCGAACUGCUACGUUCAGUAAUUUUAAUUCAUUUUUAAUCAGUGACUUUGCAUUCAGAAGUUCAAAUUUUGACCCCCUUUUGUUAUCAAACUAGCGGGUGUUAAUAACUAAUUUAUGCCAAGAUUAUAAUAUUGAAUUAUCUCUUAAUUUCGAUGUGUAUAUGUCGUAGGCAUUCAAUUCAAUUAGGCAUUCAAUUCAAUAAUAUCUACUGUACAAUUUACACUAAAAUUAUCGGAAAAUUUUACAUAAAUAUAUUGUAAAAUAGUACAUAACAUACAUAACACUUACCAGUGUACUAAAACCUCACAGUUUUUUUUUGUUCUUUUUUUUUUUAUUAUAUAUGUCUUAUAUCUCAUACUACUCAGGUAACAUUUCUUAUUUUUUGACGAUGUUUAGGAAUAUUUUCCACACAAAGAAAUUUCAAAUAUCAAAUUACUUUAAUUAAAUAUAAAACGUAACAUUACAAUUUUCGUAAAAAACUUUUAUGUGUUUAACAAAACAAUAUAGGAAAACGCGAGGCGAUGGAUGUCAUUUACAUUGAGUUGUAUCGAAUUUGAUCUAAAAAUUGUUUUUUAAAGUUUGUUCACAUACCAUAGGUGACUCCUAUUCGCCCAUGGUCUCCAAAAAAAUCAUAAUUAGUAGCUCGUAUAUUUUAACAAUUUGUUCAUGAGUGUGAUGACCUUUUUCUUAUUUGCAGCUACUUUAUUUCUAGAUUUAAUUGUACUUGUUAGGUGCAUCUUCAAAUAAUUUCUCUGAUAAAAUUCCAGCGUGAAUGAAUUUUUUUGGAUAUUUUAAAUUAAAAUUAAAUUACAGUGCAAAUGCAAUUAUAAAUGCGUCUGCAAACGUCCUAUUUUCUUCGUCCAUUAUGUGGAUUUCCACUAGAACGUAAAAUUUUGUAUCAUCUCAAAAUUGUUAAUAAGUAAUAUGGUAACAAAGUAAAUGCUAAAUCAAUUACCAGUUUUUAACUUUACGAUGCUUGGGGCUGGAGUUUGAUCUGGAAUAUUUGUCAAAUCCUAAGAAAAACAACAUAAAAUAUGUAUUCCUAGACAGUACUUACAUCCGUUUCUGUAAAAAUUAUAUUUAGGUCUUCUUUAAAGUAUUUUGAAACAACAUCGAGCAUUAUCCAGCAAUGAUCGUCUUCACCCUGAUCGGAAUUUUCAAUGACUUUGCUAAAUGUAGUAUUUUGUUAUUUUUUUCUUGUAUCAAAGCAUUCAUCACAUCAACAUUAAUAUUUUGUGUAAGUUUUUUGAAAUGCCAUAAAAUACCAGCCUUUUUGAGCAAGAUAGGUCAUUUUGAUUUUAUGCCUUCCAUGGUUCUUGAUUCGUCGUUUAGAAAUUGCCUUUGUUGAGAAUAUGUACUUUCUAAUUCUUAUAAAUAGUUUUCAUCACCCUCUUCAAUAAUAGUGUUUGGAAUAUUAUUGUUCUUCACAGCUGGAGGAUUCCAGUUUCAGUGAUGAUUUGUCUUUUUUUGUGUGGUGUAUUUAAGUAAUUCAAAAGGAGGUCCAGGAUUAUAAGGCCGUAGCCUACUAGGAAGCUUUCCAGGAAGAAGUCCAGCAAAUGGCGGAAAUGCUGGAAUUUGGCAAACUUUAUUCAGAAAAAAAAGGAAAAGCAACAAAAAAAUCUUCACUAAACUAAAUGCCUGAUAUAUACCACUCACUGAGAUAUUGACAGAAUUUAAUUUUGCGUUCAAUUUUUUACAUAAUUUGGUUGUAAUGAAAGUACUUUGUGAACCCACAUCAAACACUGCUCGACAUGUCUGAUAGUGAUUAUUGUUAUCGACGAUAUCUAUUAAGGCAAAUUUUUAGGUGUACUGGUUGCUAAAUUUUCUGGGAUAUAAUUUUCUGUUCCAUUAUGUAAUAAAGAAUUAUGUUUGCAUUUUCUGAAAAAACAUCUAUCGUUCGUGUGGCUGAAGCGUAGGCAAUUUUUGCACAACUGGUGAGGUUUGACCAAUUCAAGACGUUUCAAAAUGUCAAGUGCUAAAAAUUCCCCACAUUUAAAUAAUUUAUGUUGAUUUUUACGCAAUAAACAAGAAUUAUGGUUUACACGCUGUUCUAUGCGUAUGUUAGCUGAAAAUCGUGGAUUUGAAUUUUUAUUAAAACUAUGUUUUUUUUUAUAAUAAAAAUUUCAUAUUAAUUUAUUAUUAUGAUAAUGAGAUGCAUUUAUCGCUAAUGAUUCUAACAUUUGGCAUCUCGUGGGUAAGAAACUUUUUUUGAAUUUCAAUAUGUAUAUCUUCAAAUUCCUGUAAUAUCGACUCGAUUGACCUUUUUCGAUUAUUAAUUUCGUCGAAUUUGUUUUCAUUAUUAAUUAAUAGUUAAUAGUUUUAAAUUUAGUUUUAAUUAAUAGUUUUUAAAUCUAAGUUAUUUAUUAUGUGUAUAUAUUUAAUAUAACUAUCGUAAAGAGGUUUCCAAUCUUUGAAGUUUAAGAUUCUCCAAGUUUCGUCAGAUAAUUUUAUCGUUUCUUCUGGGUGUAGAUAUAGUCCAUUGAAAGACUUAUGGGACGAUUUCUAAUGAUAUUGUUACUUUGAUCCAUAUGGACUUGGAACAGAUUGAUCUUCUUUAGUAUUUCUUCCAUAAUGUUUAAUGUUUGGACUCCGGGAUGACAUAAAUUUAAAGUUGGUAGGAUAGAAGUAUCACUUGGAAAAAAAUCCUAAAUUCGUUAGGGUGUUUUUGAAUUCCGAACAAAAUUUUUUAACAGUCGAAGGCACUAUCAAAGAGUUUAGUCUUUUUGUUAAAAUAAACAAAAGUGCUGUUUGGGAAGGGAGCGAAAUAAAAAAAAUAAAAUUUGCGAAACUUUAGGAAAAUAAAAAAAUUCGUUAAUGUUUCUAGGGGUGUUUGUCCGAACAUACAUUUUUUACAGUUGAAGGCCCUAUUAGAGGGCUUGAUCUACUGCAAAAAUAAAGAAAAGCGCUGUUCGGGAAAGGAGUGAAAAGAAUUUAGGUUUGCAAAUUAGAGAAUAUCUAGAAAAAUUUUAAAAAUUUGUUGAGGUUCCUAGGAGUUUUUGUCCGAACAUGAAUUUUUCACAGUCGAAGGCCCUAUUAGAGGGCUUUAUUUUUUGCAAAAAUAAACAAAAGUGCUGUUUGUGAAGGGUUAAAAAAAAAGUUUGCAAACUAGAGGAACUUUAGGAAAAUUAAAAAAAUGUGUUAAGGACUCUAAGGGUGUUUGUUCGAACAUAAUUUUUUUAUAAAUUAGAUUAACUCUCGUAAACUUUUAAAAAUUCGUUAUGGUCCCUAGGGGUGUUUAUUCAAACGUGUGUUUUUUGCAGUCGAAGGUCCUUUUAGAGAGCUUGAUUCCCUGCGAGAAAUAACAAAAGUGCCAUUUGGGGUGGGGAUGAAAAAAAUAAUAAUAAUAAAAAUAAAUAAUAAAAAAAAUGCAGAAAAAUUGUCAAGGUUCCUAGGGGUGUUUGUCCAAACAUGAAUUGUUUACAGUCGAAGGCCCUAUUGGAGGGCUUGAUCUCCUGUAACAAUAAACAAAAUCGCUGCUUGGGAUGGGGAUGAAACAAAUAAAGUUUGCAAAUUAGAGAAACUUGAGAAAAUUAAAAAAAUUCGUUAAGGUUCCUAGGUGUGUUUGUCCGAACAAUUUUUUACAGUCGAAGGCCCUAUUGGAUAGCCUAAUCUCCUGCAAAAAUAUACAAAUCUGCUGUUUGGGAAGGAGGUGAAAAAAAUUUAGUUUGAAUUGUCUGAAUGUGAGAAUAAAAAAUGCAGAAAUUAAAUGCACUUUUAAGUUUUAAUUUGUAAUAGAAACACAUUAGAAUGGUUGGGAGAUGUUCUACAAUUGUGAUAUGCAUAUCAUCGUGACAGCUUACUGAUGUUUUUAUAAAUAAUGAUUUAAGAGUAUUCUGACAAUUUUCUUUGUGUGAACUUGGUUGUAGAAAACGAGAAUGGGGAGAGGAAAUGGUGGUAGCUCCUUGCGCGCAGCGAUUAUCUGGUCGACUGUAAUAUUCAUCGUGCCAGCUCCAUUUUUGGUGCUAUCUUGGGUGCUAAUUACAGAGUGGCACCGACAUUGAAUUUUUACAUGGUUUCAUACUUUCGAAACCCCAUUCUUAGAUUUAUUUUUAUUUUUAAACAGACUUUUUAAAAGAAAAUUGGAACGCUUUUAUUUUUAUUUCUUAGGUUGGCAAGGUCAAUACCAAUGACGUUAGCCCUAAUCAUCCUUUUUGUGUUUUGUGAUUUUAGCGUAGCGUUUUGACCUUGUUGCAAGAUUGUAAAGUUUUUUCGCACUUGUAUCUAGUGCUCGUGACUGUUAUUUUUUGUGUUUGGUGCUGUAUUAUUAACUUGUGACCGUGGUAUUUCAAAGUAGUGAAGGAGUGACAAUGCUCCCCCAAAAACGGAUCUUUCUCAAUUCCCGAAAAGGACGAGGUAAUAGCUCAAUGGUCGCCUUACACUCAAAAAACGCUGCGGGGUCGCUAAUAAGGUUGUAGAAAGACAGAAAAUGAGAAUGGAGGAAUUGCUCUACGUCCUGCUGUCGACGCCACCUUUCAAGAAAUGUUAGAUUUGGGGGUGAUAAAACGUGAGGCUUUACCUUACGCAAGUUCAAUGACGAUUAUGAAAAAGAAAGAUGGAACCGUGAGAAUUUGUCUUGAUGACCGAAUGAUCAACUUCAAAAUGAUAGCCGAUUGUCCACCAUCGAUUUGAGAUCUUCGUACUGGCAAAUCCUACUUUCGCCAGAAAAUAGACAGUACACCGCUUUUCUGUACAAAAGUCGCAGUUACACAUACCAAGUCCUACCCGAUACAGUGCAGCCACUCAAGACCUAAACAAACUACUGAAAAAGGGUGAAAAAUGGAGAUGGGGACAAAAUGAACAAGAAGCUUUCGAUCGUGUAAAAGAUUUGGUUUUCGAAGCAGUAUUGCUACGUUAACCGGACCCGAAUAAAAUAUUCUAUGUCCAAACUGACUAUUCAGGAUUGGGGGCAGAAUUGUAUCAAAUUCGGGAAGACGGUUCGCGAGGUGUGAUCGCUUUUGCAAGUCGUUCUUUGAAAUUACCUGAACUAAACUACACAACUACGAAAAAGGAAUUUCUCGGAGCCGAUCACCAAGCCUUGAAAUUCCUGAGCCGUUGUCGAUUGCUCAGAGAACGCCUAACCCGAUGGACUUUGAUUCUAGGACAGUACGACUACGAAAUCGAGUUGGUAAAAGGAAAGGAAAAUGUAGUUGCCGACAACCUAUCGCGAUACCCGUCCCACGAUAUAGCCAGUUAUGAAUAUCCACAUGAACAUCCAAUAGCAGCAAUAUUUGAAGUUGACAACACACCUGAAAUUCCGCAACUAAUGUCCGAUCUUAAACAACAUCAGUCAGAUGAUCCGGUUUUGAGCCAAAUAAUCGCCAACAAACAAUCCGGUGUAGUCGCCCCAGAUGCACGAAAUCAACGGGUUUGGUCACAAUAUAAUUUCACAAAUAAUGUGUUAGUUCACAGAUCUCAAUAUUCUAACGACGCCGGCCUUGCCAUACCUGAGAGUUUGGUAAUUAUGCUCGUGGAUUACCAUCACCAACUCCUGGGCCAUUUCGGUGCAACCAAAGUGUACAAUUCGAUGAAGUGCGAGUAAUACUGGCCAAACAUGUACCGUACAAUAAAGAAACGGUUACGAAGUUGUGAUCUUUUUCAAAAAAUAAAAAGUUCCAACCAUCCACAUCAGGGCCCAUUAACACCAAUUUUGUAUGACCACAUCGGGGACCUAGUUUGCGUUGACUUCUAUGGGCUUUUACCAACCGGCCGAAUGGGGGCGUCCUAUGUAUUUAUGGUCAUUGACGUCUUUAGCAAAUUUCUCAAACUAUCCAUUGAGAAAAGCCACCGGCAAAAUAGCUGCAAAACGACUUACAGAGGAAUUCGCUGAGUACAUUAAACCCAAAUGUGUGUUAAGCGACCACGGGACAACUUAUUUCUAACACUUGGCAGAAUAGUUUGCGAGCUGUCCACAUAAAACCAACAUUUUCGUCCAUUCGUCACCCUGAAUCUAACCCCAGCGAGCGUGCAAUGCGGGAGCUGGGUAGAAUUUUCCGAGCAUAUUGUCGAGAAAAUCACGCCAGUUGGGUCAAUUAUUUGAGUAACAUCGGAGAUUGCUUGAACUUCGUUCCACACAUCAGUACCGGGUUUUCUCCAUAUAAAACCCUGUAUAGCAGGAAACCGCCAAAUCCAUUAGAUACAGUCAUAUCGGGUUUACUGCCAGUACAUCUGCCGCUAACGAAAGAAGAAAUUCACGAAAAGGCUUGUAAAAACUUGAGACACCCGCAAGCUUACGUCAGCAAAAUCAAAGGGUGAAAUUACCAUAUUAGAAAUUGACGAUUGGGUUCUCCUGAAGAACAAAGUAACUUCCGAUACAAGAACGCCAAGUUCAUGCCAUUGUACAGUGGUCCGUACAAAAUAAUUGCCAAACCUCAUCCGAACACGUACCAAUCGCCGAUCCAGUGACGAAUGUAAUCAAAGGGGUGUACAACAUGAAUCUAUUCAUCAGCGUAAAUUAUUAGAAGUCAUGUUAAGAAUUUGAGCUUCCUUACAACACCGUUUAAUUUCAACAAAUUUAAUUCAACUUAUUUAGCAUUAAAAAAACAUGUUAUCAUUAAAAUGUUCAGAAAUUAUCGUUCCCAAGGAAAUUUUCCAAGAACCGUAAAAUUGUUACAAAUCACCAGAUUGGGUGGUCAAAAAGCCAUGUGUUUAAAAAGUGGGUAUGCAAAGAUAAGGGAGUUGGCGACGGCCUGACGGUGCAGUCCAGGCGUUCAACUAAUUUAAUAGUUUUCUCACAAAAUAAUAAUUAAUUUAGGUUUGUUCAAAUAGUAAAAAUUUAGUGAUAAAACGGUAAAGAAAUCCAAGGCAGUAGAUAACGAAUGGGGGGACAACACAACACAACCUUGACCUUGAGUUUGACCCCGCCCAUUUUCCCUCUCUUUCUUUCAAGGCCACUCGUUCUCUCUCUUACUUUUCAAGGCCAACCCCUCCCACUUCCACCACUUCAAGGCCAAGGCAUUAUUGGACCUUGAUGUUUUCAAGGUCAAGGUUAUUCAUGCUACUCCCCACUUUUUCAAGGCCAACAACUUCCCUCUUUACUUAUCAUUCAAGGUCACUGCAGCUAAUAUAUAUAGAAUUCAAUACAAAUUCAAAAACAGUAUCUAAUAAGUAUUUCUCAAUAUUAAAGUAGUAAAAAAUGUGGUAUCGUUUUACUUGUGAAGGUGUCAUAAUAGUGGAAGAAACGUGUUUCCACAACCAGUUAGGACACAUAUCUUUGGAAGGUGGUUGGGAACGUUUCUUUAAUAGAGUGGUUGUGUGUGAACAGUGCAGCACUAAGGACAUUUCAAUUAUUAAUCCAGAUGGGUGGAAUAAUUCUUUAAGUAUUGAUAUUACGUGUAAUGAAGAAGAAUUUAGAGUUACUUAGAAAAUAUGGUUUCCUUUGUCAUAAGUGUAAAACUCCGUGUUACACAGCUAGCCAAGUGGAUCCGGAAAAUGCCCAAAAAAUUAUAGCUAUAUACCACUAACUUAAAUCAGCAUAAUGGAAGUUGACAAUGAUCCUUACUGCUACAUGCUCUUUUGCCUAUCUCCAAAGGACUGUGGUAACAGAAAAUUCUUUUGUUUGAGAUGUGUGAAGCUUAUGGCAGUGAGAUUUCACAUUUGUCAUCUACAUGUGACUUCAGUGUUAAACUACAAGUGUUUUUGGUGUAAUACAGUAAUAGGACAGAAUUCUCAGUUGUGUGGAAAUAAUUUAAUAAACAGAAUGACUGUUAAAAUGUGGUAUUUUAGUAGAGAGCGACAAAUGAUGUUUUAUGAUUCUGAUGACUAUGAUUCUGACGACUCAUCAAGUAGCUGUGAUAGUGGUAUAGAAUGUUAGUUAAUAAGAGUAGAAAUUAGAUAUAAACAACUUGUAACCUUAGAUUAAAUUAGUAUCUAGAUUAUUCUUUUGCUGUAUGGAUAAAAGUAAAUAAAUGAAGUUAUAUAAUAAACAGACUUGUGAUUCUCAACAUAGUAUUGAUUCAACUCUGACAAAGAGAGGUUGGGGUCUAAUAAAUAAAUUAAUAAAUAAAUUACCCAUUGAAUUACAUAUACCGGGUUAUCAGUUUUGUGGUCCUGGAACCAAAUUACAAAAACGAAUUGCACUUGGACAUAGUGGUAGAAAUAAAUUAGAUCAGGCUUGUAAAGAACACGAUAUAUCGUACGCCAACGAAACUAAUUUGCAAAAACGACACGAAGCAGAUAAGUUAUUAUUAAGUAAAGCAGUUGAACGUUUAAAAGCAAAAGACGCAUCGUUUGGGGAAAAAGCAGCUGCAUUAGCAAUUGCUGGUAUAAUGAAAGGCAAAGUAAAAUUCGGAAUGGGACCUAAAAGUAAAAAGGGUAAAAAAAAGAAGACAAAAAAACAACGAGAAAUAUGGUGGUUUUUUACCAUUCCUAUUACCACUAUUAGGUGCUCUAGGCGCUUUAGGAGGAGGAGCUGCAGGGAUAGCGACUGCUGUAAAUAAAGCUUCGGUAGAUAAAAAAAUGUUGGAGGAAACUAUGCGGCAUAAUAAAGCAAUGGAAAUGAGUAGCGGUAAAGGUGUAGGAAAAACUAAAGGGAAAGGUCUUUACAUUGGUCCAUAUAAAUGGUAUCAGAAAAAAAACUCCCAGUAAAAUUACCACGUCACGCCCUCACUAAUAUUGAAAUAAUAAAGUUUGCUCGACUAUUACAAAUUCCAAAUUUUAGAGGUGUAUAUAUGCGUAAUAAAUUACCGAAAAUUAUACAUAAAAAUGAAACAGGAAUUAUAAAUUUAGAUGAAGAAAAAAAUAGUGGAACUCAUUGGACAGCAUAUGUAAAAAAUAAAAAUAAUAUAUUAUACUUUGAUAGUAUGGGCAAUUUAAAACCUCCAACAGAGAUUAUCAAUUAUUUCAAAAGUGAUAAUGAUGGUAAUAACAUUACAUACAAUUAUGAUGGAUAUCAGAAAAUGGGUUCAUAUAAUUGUGGACAAUUAUGUUUAAAGUUUUUAUAUAGACACACAUGCAAAUUAUAAGUUUAGUCGAAUCAAAGAUGCUGUUUGUAUUAACAGGAAAAUCAGCGAUACUAAGUGCUGACUUUAAUCCACCGAUUGAUGUUAGUGAUGGUGUCUAUGAACUGGGUGUUACAAAUUUUGAAGUCUACAACAGUAUACCGAAUAUUGAUGAAGAAAAUAAUAAAUUCUUUUUCGGGGAUGUCGAAUUUAAAAUACCGACCGGUUGUUAUCAAUUAACCGAUAUAAACAACUAUUUACAACAUGUAAUUGAAAAACAAUUCAGUAAUGACCUCUUAUCUAUUACUGCAAACAAUAAUACAUUACAUACACAUAUCAAAGCAACAAAAGAUGUUGACUUUACCAAACCAAAUACUAUCGGACCAGUGUUGGGAUUUAAUAGUCAAAUAGUUCCAAAAAAUAUUGGAAAAGAUUCGGAUAAUAUUGCAGACAUAAUGAAACUUAAUUCGAUUAUGAUUGAAUGUAAUAUUACAAUUGGAAGUUUUAAAAAUGGAGAACCUGUACACAUAAUUUAUCAAUUUUUUCCAAACGUUCCACCUGGAUUUAAAAUAGUACAGUCACCAGAUCAUGUGAUUUAUCUACCCAUUAGUGUUAAAACUAUCAGAAAUAUUACACUUAAAAUAAUAGAUCAAGAUGAAAAGUUGGUCAAUUUUCAACAAGAGACUGUAACAGUUGGAUUACAUUUGCAGAAGAAAGAAGAAAAUGGGUAUUAGUUUUAGAACUGACUCAUAUAAAAAGCAACAAAAGUGUAGAAAAACAGUUAGUACGAAACGAAACGUGCAACAAUUAAGUAAUAAAAAUAAAC